rnacentral:misc_RNA from 1 species
GAUUAAUUAAGUUCUAAUUAACUUAUUAAAGUUAAAUAAAUUCAAAAUGGCCGCCAGUAAAGAGCCUGAUGUAUUCUUCACUGCAAAUCAUUCCUGGGGAGUUGCUAGUGCUAGACACGUCUCAGGCCUACCAGUAAAUGAAAUUCCUUUCACUUUUGAUGCUCCACUCGGUCCUUCAGUGGUUAGGUGGGACCUCAGUAAUGGAGAGAGAGUCAGAAGCAGACAGAUUCACUCUGACCUCAUCGUCUGCAUGAGAUACUCUCCUAAUGAUGAGUACAUAGCAACUGCUAGCACUGGAGGAGAGGUCAAAGUAUGGAGUCGUAGCUCUUGGGAUCUCAUAGCAGAAACCAUUGCUCCUAUCGACUCCUUGUUUCAUUUGAGUUGGUCUCCUUCGAGUGAUUGCAUUUUAAUUAUUGGUAAUGGAAGGAACUCUUCAGCUCUUUUAUACAAACUGGAAAAUGGGAAAAUGGAAGAAGAUGGCGACCAAAAAGUCUACAAAGAAAGACUGAAUCUAUUGUGGAGUACAAGGGCUGGCCUUUCGAAAACAAGAGAAUCAACUAUUGAGUCACAUGACCAGAGGAGCAAGUCACCUGAGCAAUCGACUGGCAAGGACUACUCGUAUAAAGAUGCUUUUUACAUGGGAGAAGUGAACCCAUCGAACAAUGUAUUCAUUGUUGAGGAGAGGGAGGAGUCUUGUACUCAGUUGCACCUGUUGGACGGGGGUACUGGGCUACCGAUAAAGACCACACCCCUCUCUUCAUUGUCCGGUACAAGGGAGGCCCACACUUUGAUGAUGUCAUCAUUACAUGAUGGACUGUACGCUUUGAUGGUUGAGGGUGGGUAUGUUGUCAUGGUAACAGCGGAGGAGCUUGAAAUCGUUAACAUAUACAACAUUGGUUUCUCAUCAAGGACUUGUGCAUGGGAUAAAGACCUUUUGUUGUUACCUUCAGAUUCCGGAAAACUGACCUGGAUUAAUGUACAAAAUGGUUCACCAGUGCAGGAGAUUAGAGUUGGUUCCAGUGAUUAUAUCGUUCAUGUCAGUUUGUCUUCAACUUCUGGUCUUUGGUUGUGCGGGUUUAGCCGACUUUUAUACUGUACAAUGGAGAGGAAUGAUAACGGUGUUCCUACUAAAGUAGCAGCUACUCAUCAAGUCUCAACUCAUGAAAUAAGUUGCUGUGGUGUCUCAUUCUCUCCUCUCUCCUCUCUCCUCUCAGUUGGUGAUCUGGCGGGCAAUGUCUACCUUUACAGCUGCUCCGAGGACAUAUACAUACCACUGGAGAUGUGGAACGUUGGUGGUUCUGUGAGAUGUUUGUGUUGGUUAGAUAAUGAUUGCGUUCUUGUUGGUAGUCUUGAUGGCUCCAUCCACUUAUGGAGGAUCGGAGGAGACAUCAAACCAUUCUUGUCAAUGGAAGGUGGAAUAAUUCACAUCAGAUGUAGCAGUGAUGGAAAGUAUUUUGCUGUUGGUACUUCCUCUGGUAAAGUGGGUGUCUAUCUUUACAAUAAAGAGGGUGGGGUCACUCCACCCACUCCUUGUCCUGUGAGUGUAUUCAUGGCCCAUUACCCUCGGCCUGAUGUCAAGGACAGUCGAUUUGGUCAGCUAGGACAUCAAGCUGAAGUUUGGAGCCUUUGUUGGGACCCUACUGAUAGAUACCUAGCGACUUGCUCUGAAGACCAAACUGUACGGAUAUGGAAGGCGGAGUCUUGGAUAGGCGUGGCUACUCUUAAAGGACACACUCUUGCUGUUACUAGUGUUGAUUGGGCUGAUGUUAAUGGGCGGAGCUUGCUAGCAUCUUGUUCAGAUGACAGAGUAAAGAGAAUACUAUUAGACUGUACCAGUUUCUGUUGGAGGGUGAAUCAUUUGAUUUGUUAUUUACAAUGAAUACUAAGAGUAUCUAUGGGUGGCACACACUAACUUAUCUAACUUUUAAACUGCAACCGGACAAAUCUAGUGCCCUCCUGGUAGUUACCACACAGCAUGGAUACAUUGUGCUAUUCAAUAUUAUCAAUGGAUCAAUGGUAUCGUCUCAUAAAAUG